UUGUAAACUUGAUGAGAUAUAGAAAUCACU
rnacentral:piRNA from 1 species